UCCGGCUUAUCACCGGCAGUUUCCUUAGAGUGCCCAGCAUAACCUGUUGGUAACUAAGGAUGAGGGUUGCGCUCGUUGCGGGACUUAACCCAACAUCUCACGACACGAGCUGACGACAGCCAUGCAACACCUGUGAUGGUCCGGCCGAACCGACUCAUGGAUCUCUCCACGAUAUGACCACCAUGUCAAGGCCUGGUAAGGUUUUUCGCGUAGCAUCGAAUUAAACCACAUGUUCCACCGCUUGUGCGAGUCCCCGUCAAUUCCUUUGAGUUUUAAUCUUGCGACCGUACUCCCCAGGCGGAGUGCUUAACGCGUUAGCUUUGACACCAAGAUCUAAGUCCUGAUAUCUAGCACUCAUCGUUUACUGCGUGGACUAC
rnacentral:misc_RNA from 1 species